rnacentral:rRNA from 1 species
UUAUGACAUCAUACCACCCUGAACAAACUGAUCCGAUCUGAUUUCAGAAGCUAAGCUGGGCCAGACCUGCUUAAUACUGUUGGAAAAAUAUGCUCUCUAAUACUUGGUGUCAGUGGUGGGCAUGCUGUGCA